rnacentral:rRNA from 1 species
GUAGGGAAUUUUCGUCAAUGGGCGCAAGCCUGAACGAGCGAUGCCGCGUGAGUGAAGAAGGCCUUCGGGUCGUAAAGCUCUGUUGCGGGGGAAAAAAGGCAGCAUCAGGAAAUGGGUGCUGACUGAUGGUGCCCCGCCAGAAAGUCACGGCUAACUACGUGCC